GUCCGUUCGUUUGAUUUGUUUUUAUUAUUUGAUUUUGCCAUUUGAUUAGGAACUUUCCGUUUAGGAUUUUCCUCGGAGUUCAGUAUUUUUUUUUUAUUUUACGUUUUUUUGUUACAAAACUAUAAAUACAAUUUAGAAUAUAAAUUCGAAAUGGGAAAAAAAGACAACAUGUAUCAAAACACGUUUUUUUCGCAUGCGUAAAACAUAGCAUUGCGUGGUACUUUUUCCCAUGUAUCCUUUUGUGUCAGCAAAAAGGCUUUAUCAUGUUUUUUU
rnacentral:lncRNA from 1 species